GGCGGGUAAGCGAUUGGUUAGCAGUCGUGUUGGAAGCACGAUAAGGGUGUUAAAGCCCGGCAGAGUUCGAUUCUCUGGCCCGCCGC
rnacentral:tRNA from 5 species